GCUGACCGAACAACAAACCACAAAUAUACCUUACCAGAUUAAACAAAUCAUUUGACCCACCCAGUAGAGGCGAUCGAACAGUCACAAGUCAUAACAAAGUACCGCAAGGGAACCACCACCAAGCAACAAACAGCAAAGACUAACCCUUGUACCUUUUGCAUCAUGAUUUAGCAAGAUCCCAGGACAAGAAGAAUCACAGCCCACCCCCCGAAACCGAACGAGCUAUUUUUAAGCAGUCUAACGGACGCACCCUUCUAUGUAGCAAAUAGUGGAAAGACUUAAAAAUAGAGGUGAAAG
rnacentral:rRNA from 1 species